UACGUAUGGUGCAAGCGUUGUCCGGAAUUACUGGGCGUAAAGAGUUCGUAGGCGGUUAAAUAAGUCAGAAGUGAAAGGCUACGGCUCAACCGUAGUAAGCUUUUGAAACUGUCUGACUUGAGUACUGGAGAGGAAAGUGGAAUUCCUAGUGUAGCGGUGAAAUGCGUAGAUAUUAGGAGGAACACCAGUGGCGAAGGCGGCUUUCUGGACAGUAACUGACGCUGAGGAACGAAAGCGUGGGGAGCAAACAGG
rnacentral:rRNA from 1 species